ACAGAGAAUAGUUUAAUUUAGAACGGUAGUUUUGGGGACUAUUGGAGUGAGUGU
rnacentral:tRNA from 1 species